rnacentral:rRNA from 1 species
AUGCCGUCACGGAAAGGGGUUUUAAACCGUUUGUUUAGGACCGACGCGUACCAGUGUAAGGAGCUACAUGAUGAGAACUGCAUCAGAUUGGUCGCCCGCCUGGCGACGCCGGCCCAGCUGCUAGAGUUCAUUGCUCUUGCAUCAGUAACAUCUGAGGUUGCACUGAUCCCGGAUAGGGAGGACUCCAUCUCAUGGCAUUGGGCCCCCAGUGGCAUCUACCCCGUUGCUUCGGCUUACGCAGCCCGGUUCGCAGGGUCAUUCCCCAGGUUCUCACCGACUAAGAUCUGGGAGGUGCUCGCGGAACCAAAAUGCAAGUUAUUAUCCUGACUCGUGCACCAUGGAAAGAUCCUUACGACGGACAUGCUGGUCGUUCGGGGCUGGCCUCAUGACCCUCGAUGCCCGCUUUAUCUUGGGGCGCCAGAAACAACAACUCACCCGUGCAAGGACUGCUCCUUUACCGUUGCAGUAUGGUCGCACGUCCAGGUGUGGACGGGAGAGGCGCAUGCGGUCACGCAUGCACUUCCACCUCAAUGGGGAUCUCUAACUAGUGGCAUACGUUUGUCGCUCCGCUGUCCAUCGAGGACAGACGCCGUUGUAGCGGUCGUUUUCUCUACACCAUUUGGAAUAUCUAGAAGGAGCAUAACUGUCACAUCUACAAUGGAACUCGCCUCACCCACUUGGAGGUGGCAGCAAUCGCAUUUGAGAACAUCAAGCAGAGGGCCUUGGCCUUCGGAAGGGCCCAUGAGGCGACUGGUAUUGGUUGAUUGUAAUACCUUGUAG